AAUACUGGUUCUCAAGGAAGGGCGCAUUAUACAGGCGGGGAAAUAUGAUGAUCUUCUGCAAGCAGGAACUGAUUUUAGGACUUUGGUCUCAGCUCACCAUGAAGCAAUUGUAGCUAUGGAUAUCCCAUCUCACUCAUCUGAUGAUUCAGACGAGAGUUUGUCUUUGGAUGGGUCUGUCAUAUUUAAUAAAAAAUGUGAUGCAACUGGAAGUAAUGUUGAUAUUUUGGCAAAGGAAGUGCAAGAAAGUGCAUCACCAUCAGAUCAGAAAGCUAUUAAAGAGAAAAAGAAAGCAAAACGCUCAAGG
rnacentral:misc_RNA from 1 species